CCUAGGGAGGCAGCAGUGGGGAAUAUUGCACAAUGGGAGGCACCCUGAUGCAGCGACGCCGCGUGGGUGAAGGAGCACCUAGGUGCGUAAAGCCCUAUCGGCAAGGAAGAAACAGACGGUACCUGACUAAGAAGCCCCGGAUAACUACGUGCAAGCAGCCGCGGUCAUACGUAGGGGGCAAGCGUUAUCCGGAUUAACUGGGUGGAAAGCGAGCGUUGACGGCGACUCAAGUCUGGAGUGAAAGCCCGGGACCCAACGCCGGGACUGCUCUUGAAACUGCUGCGCUAGAGUACGGGAGGGGCAGGCGGAAUUCCUGGUGUAGCGGUGAAAUGCGUAGAUAUCAGGAGGAACACCGGCGGCGAAGGCGGCCUGCUGGACCGUGACUGACGUUGAGGCUCGAGAGCGUGGGGAGCAAACAGGAUUAGAUACCCGAGUAGUC
rnacentral:rRNA from 1 species